UACAGAGGUCUCAAGCGUUGUUCGGAUUCAUUGGGCGUAAAGGGUGCGUAGGUGGGUUGGUAAGUCAGUGGUGAAAUCCCCGAGCUUAACUUGGGAACUGCCAUUGAUACUAUCAGUCUUGAAUACCGUGGAGGCCAGCGGAAUAUGUCAUGUAGCGGUGAAAUGCUUAGAUAUGACAUAGAACACCAAUUGCGAAGGCAGCUGGCUACUCGGAUAUUGACACUGAGGCACGAAAGCGUGGGGAUCAAACAGG
rnacentral:rRNA from 1 species